GAGUUUGAUCAUGGCUCAGGAUGAACGCUGGCGGCGUGCCUAAUACAUGCAAGUCGAGCGAACAGAUAAGGAGCUUGCUCCUUUGACGUUAGCGGCGAACGGGUGAGUAACACGUGGGUAACCUACCUAUAAGACUGGAAUAACUUCGGGAAACCGAAGCUAAUGCCGGAUAACAUGUAGAACCGCAUGGUUCUACAGUGAAAGAUGGCCUUGCUAUCACUUAUAGAUGGACCCGCGCCGUAUUAGCUAGUUGGUAAGGUAACGGCUUUCCAACGCGACGCUACGUAGCCGACGUGAGAGGGUGAUCGGCCCCUCGUUUUCCGAGACACAGUCCAGACUACUACGGGAGGCUGCAAGGCCGUCUUUUUCCAGAGUAUCCAUCUCUGUGCCGGCCUCCCGAUUCCUCUGUCUCGUCGUGUGUUCAAUGUCAACAAGAUAGUGGCCAUUGAUUACCGAGAUUCU
rnacentral:rRNA from 1 species